UACGGAGGGAGCUAGCGUUGUUCGGAAUUACUGGGCGUAAAGCGCACGUAGGCGGUUUUUUAAGUCAGGGGUGAAAUCCCGGGGCUCAACCCCGGAACUGCCCUUGAAACUGGGAAGCUAGAAUCUUGGAGAGGCGAGUGGAAUUCCGAGUGUAGAGGUGAAAAUCGUAGAUAUUCGGAAGAACACCAGUGGCGAAGGCGACUCGCUGGACAAGUAUUGACGCUGAGGUGCGAAAGCGUGGGGAGCAAACAGG
rnacentral:rRNA from 1 species